AUUGAACGCUGGCGGCAGGCUUAACACAUGCAAGUCGAGCGGGGGAAGGUAGCUUGCUACAGGACCUAGCGGCGGACGGGUGAGUAAUGCUUAGGAAUCUGCCUAUUAGUGGGGGGCAACAUCUCGAAAGGGAUGCUAAUACCGCUUACGUCCUACGGGAGAAAGCAGGGGAUCUACGGACCUUGCGCUAAUAGAUGAGCCUAAGUCGGAUUGGCUAGUUGGUGGGGUAAAGGCCUACCAAGGCGACGAUCUGUAGCGGGUCUGAGAGGAUGAUCCGACACACUGGGACUGAGACACGGCCCAGACUCCUACGGGAGGCAGCAGUGGGGAAUAUUGGACAAUGGGGGGAACCCUGAUCCAGCCAUGCCGCGUGAGUGAAGAAGGCCUUAUGGUUGUAAAGCACUUUAAGCGAGGAGGAGGCUACUUUAGUUAAUACCUAGAGAUAGUGGACGUUACUCGCAGAAUAAGCACCGGCUAACUCUGUGCCAGCCGCCGCGGUAA
rnacentral:rRNA from 1 species